UAUUUAUACCUUGGUUUUUAUUUUUGUGAGAAACUGCGUUCUUAUAGAUUUAUUCUCCCCCAAUGCAAAGAUUUGACUUGGUUCUUUGCGCAAAAUUCUCAAUUGAACGGGAAAAAUAAAUUGUGAUAAAGUAACAAUGCCAUCAAACCUUAAAUAUUUUACAUGACAGGUGAAACAAAUUUCACCAUGAAAAUGUCAAUUACAGUAUUACACAGAUUACAAUGAAACAUCAUUGAAGAAUUUUGGUCACAAUUCUCCAGGGUAUUGAAGAAUCAACUCUAGGAAAAAUAGACGCCAACAGCUGAGAUCAAGAAUAAAUUACAAAGAGAGCAGUUGGCCAACACCGAUGGUCUGCCCAUGAUUCACUCCAUAUGGUCGUUCAAAUUGUACAAUGUCAGUAUCUGUUCAACACUUUCAGCACACCCCAAGACUCUAGACGAAUCCGUCAGUUUACCCCGGUGUCCAUCUCGACACCCAAUUUAACUCUGAUCUGUCACACUAAAAAUCACUGUACACUGCAUCAUUACCAGCAUUUAGGAGGCUAAUGUAGCUUCUCCAAGCUGCAGAGCUCUAUUAACAUGGAACGAGGGGGAAAUAAAAAGACCAGGCUUCAGUAAAUUUAACAUGGUCUAUGUUGAAGUUUUUUGGCAAGUUAGAAUCUUCUUUGCACCGGAAGAAAAUGAGGCAGCAUGCCACCACCUAUUAACUCUUCCCUCCCUCAAAAACAUAAGCCAUUCCAUAGUGAACCAACCACUCCCACUAGUGACCUCUAAAUGUAAUGCUAAUUGACAAGCACUCACGUACAAGCUUUGGCCAAAAUGGAACAACCAAGUUAUCACCAGUAAUAAAUUAUCUCACAAUAUUCCAUUCAAAACCCUCUGAUAAUAAUCAUACUGCCGUGUCCUCCAAGCAUCAAGGCUACUGCUAAUAAGAGAAAGCACCAAGGAGACACAUUGCUGACAAAAAAAUACAAAACCAUCACAAUCAUAUCCAAAACAUUUUGCGGUUAAGAAGACACAACAGUAAUAUUGAAACCUCUUCU
rnacentral:lncRNA from 1 species